rnacentral:tmRNA from 1 species
CCUGCUAAUCGGAGAAAUGAUUAACUAAGCUUGUGAACGACUCAAACUAAGACUAUUGCGGACAGGGGUUCGACUCCCCUCGGGUCCACCA